CGCACUUUUUACUUGUACCUACAAACGAGAUGUAUCUCUCAGGAUGGACUUGUAUUGGUUGUUGUUGCGCUGUUUUCAGAAACCUCGCGUAGCAAACAGUGUCAAGCACAGUUAUAGCAAUUAAGUCCCCUGCAACAUCGAAAAACUCCCUGACCGUAAGCAGAGGCUAAUUCAUCCAGAUGUAGGUCUAAUAACCAUGCAACAAAAUGUAGGUCGAACGAUGUGUUUAGGUAUUAAUUUGUAUCUUCCUCUAUAGCGAUGCCCCAGUGGAGGAAGAUUAACCCUUUUAAACCCGACAUUUUACAAUUAGCAAACAAAAAUUUUUUAACUUGUUGAUUUAAAAUCGAGCCCUGAAGAAGGUCCACUCCCCGGACCGAAACGUCGGCAAAGAUUAAAAAGUAAUCGAUGCAAGUUUGUUGACUGUUAAAGCCGAAUCACACUCUUUGUGCACCAACUCCAGUCGAAACCACCCCCAUAU